UACGUAGGUGACAAGCGUUAUCCGGAAUUACUGGGCGUAAAGCGCACGCAGGCGGUCAGGUAAGUCUGAUGUGAAACCUUCCGGCUUAACCGGAAGACGUCGUUGGAUACUGUCUGACUUGAGGCGAUGAGAGGAAUGCGGAAUCCCGGGUGUAAUGGUGGAAUAUGUAGAUAUCCGGGGGAACAUCUGUGGCGAAAGCGGCAUUCUGGCAUUUGCCUGACGCUCAUGUGCGAAAGCGUGGGGAGCAAACGGG
rnacentral:rRNA from 1 species